GGGUUGUAGCCUAGUGGUUAAAGCGUUAGACUCGUGGUUAAAGGUCGGGGGUUCGAUUCCCUCGACCCA
rfam:Macrostomum lignano uti_cns_0003809, whole genome shotgun sequence.